rnacentral:misc_RNA from 1 species
UAUCACUCUCUCUCUGUGUUCGCACGUGUGUGUAGGUGGAUGCGACGACGACAACAACAGAGGGGACGAAUAACAGCGUCACGGGUCUUGGACAGGACAUCAGUAGCGACCAGGCGUUACUUUCAAACAUCCUUUCUUUGUGUAUGUGAGAGUUUGGGUACGUGUGCGCACCUAUACACUUGUACGUGCACACACACUCGCACAUACAGACAGACAUAGAUAUACGGGCACGUCUGCACACACCGCCGUGCGCAAGGCACCAUGUCGAAGUACGCGAAUCCCGAGUACUGGGAGGACCGCUACCGCAGCAACGACACCACCUUCGACUGGUUCGUCACAUAUGACAAUCUGCAGACCAUCCUGCGCCCUCUGCUGCAGCCGGCGGAGCAGAUUCGGGUGCUCGUAGUGGGCUGCGGCAACAGCCGUCUCUCCGCUAACCUGUAUGAACACCUCAACAUCAAGAAGAUCACCAACGUGGAUGUGUCGCCGACGGUGAUCAGCCAAAUGCAGCGCCGCUACUCGGAGAUGAACGAGAUGCAGUGGAUCUGUGCCGAUCUGCUCACCACCCCGAUAGAGAAGCUGAUGCUGGAGCUGUGCCCGAACGACUAUCUCUAUGAUUUUAUUGUGGACAAGGGCCUCGUGGACAGCAUCCUCGGCGGCUCAAACUCCUUUCACAACCUGUACACCUUCAACAAGAACAUGUCGCGCCUGCUGAAGCGCGGCGGCCGCUUCGUUGUCGUCUCGUACGGGUCGCCCGAGACGCGCAUGGACCACUUCCGUCGCAAGAAGCUCAACUUCGAUGUGGAGCACAAGCUGCUGGAGAAGCCGAUGCUGAGCUCCUCUACCGCCAGCCCCACCGGGCACUACCAUGUGUACAUCAUGGUAAAGGUUGGCGCGAAGCAAGGCGUCGGAGUCGCCGUGGCAGCAGGCGACGCCGAGUCGGAAGACGACGACGACUUCUACGACCGCUUCAUGACGCAUAACUCCGCCGCCAACUGAGGCGCGCUUGGCGGACACGGCGGCGGUGACCACGUCUGGGGCCGCAAGAGGGGGUGAGAGUGGACGCGUGCGUGCGUACGAAUGCUGCCAUCCUUGCCCUCGCUGUCGUCGUCCUUCUCGCCACAACCACUACUGCUACCAUCGGCGGCUCUUCGCUAAGAAGCUGUAUAUGCCGUUCUUUGUCGCGCUGUAGACCAGCCGCGACGUCGAUGGUGCCGUGCUGUGAGCGCGAUGGGCGGGACACUGGAGGCGACUGGUCUGUGCGUGUGUGCCUGUGUGUCUUUGAGGUGGAUGUGGAUGUACAUACCGGAAGCAGCGACUACUUCACCACCCUCCUCCCCUAUUUAUUCUGCAUGCACUUGUGUUCGUGCGGGGCCCCCUCUUAUGGUGGGCGCAUGGUGGCUUGGGGAUGGUGUGGCCAUGCGGCCGUGCGAAGGGGAGUGGAGGCCCGCUGUAGGUGUGUGUGUGGUAUGUGGAUGUACAAUGUGAACCAAGUGCAAUGACAUGGCGGUUUUGCGUGUGUGUGUGUGUAUCUGCGCGUACACACGCAUGCACACACAUACAUACACACACGCCAGGAGGAAGACAAAGGCAACAUGAGUGGACGUGAGUCCGCGUCAGGAAAGGUACGCCGGCGCAAGCGUGCGUGCAAGCUCGUGCGCAUGCACAUAACCCAACGCACAUACCUCCGUCGUGACUGUCGGUGCAACUGCACACACUCCCCCCUUUCUCCGGCUCUUUCUGCAUCCGAAUAUGACGGGCUGUAUGGGACUCGUUUGUGGGGCUGACUGGGAGGGGAGGGGGAGUGCGUUACUCCGUUGUCACGGUGUAUACGUGCCUUUCAACCACUUGUGUGUAUGUGAUGCUACUGUGCCUCCACUGCAGCAGAGGUGAUACACGCGUGGACCGCGACCCUUCAGGCUAAUGAGCGCCGGAUGGCUCUUGGACUUUUUAUCUCUCUCAUUGCCUCUCCACUUUUCUUUCUGCGCGUCUGCUCGUCAACGCGACUCGCAUACACACACGCACACCGAUCUACGUGCCUACACACGGCCAUACACACGUUCGCAG